AGAGUGGUGAGUCGAUGUUAAACGCGACCUUGCGUGCACCACUGCUAUUUGUGUGCGUAGUACACGAAGCACACAGGGACAGUUAUUUACUUCAGCCA
rnacentral:lncRNA from 1 species